AGUGAGCGCUGGCGGUAGGCCUAACACAUGCAAGUCGAACGGCAGCACAGUAAGAGCUUGCUCUUACGGGUGGCGAGUGGCGGACGGGUGAGGAAUACAUCGGAAUCUACUUUUUCGUGGGGGAUAACGUAGGGAAACUUACGCUAAUACCGCAUACGACUUACGGGUGAAAGCAGGGGAUCUUCGGACCUUGCGCGAUUGAAUGAGCCGAUGUCGGAUUAGCUAGUUGGCGGGGUAAAGGCCCACCAAGGCGACGAUCCGUAGCUGGUCUGAGAGGAUGAUCAGCCACACUGGAACUGAGACACGGUCCAGACUCCUACGGGAGGCAGCAGUGGGGAAUAUUGGACAAUGGGCGCAAGCCUGAUCCAGCCAUACCGCGUGGGUGAAGAAGGCCUUCGGGUUGUAAAGCCCUUUUGUUGGGAAAGAAAAGCAGCAGGUUAAUACCCCGCUGUUCUGACGGUACCCAAAGAAUAAGCACCGGCUAACUUCGUG
rnacentral:rRNA from 1 species